UUGUAAACCUAGUAAACAAAAGAUUCAUUUACAUCUUUAUGAGAAAUCAAACGAUUUGAUCCUUUUUUCUCAUAAGAUGCAAAUAGCUCCCACUAGCUUGCUAAGAUCCAUGAUGGAUGGAUCUCUACAACUUACAUGUCUUGUGAUUCAUAGUUUUAGACAUAUAUUAUCAAGACUAUCUUAAUAAUGUCCAAACAUUGAAUCACCAUUUAGUUGUAGCUAGCAAUCUUCGAAUUAAUUGAAACUAAGACU
rnacentral:lncRNA from 1 species